GCAUGGUGGAGAGAGGAAAGAUUUAUCGGUGAAAGAUGGAUCCGCGUCUGAUUAGCCAGUUGGCGGGGUAACGGCCCACCAAAGCGACGAUCAGUAGCCGGCCUGAGAGGGCGGACGGCCACAUUGGGACUGAGACACGGCCCAGACUCCUACGGGAGGCAGCAGUGGGGGAUAUUGCACAAUGGGCGCAAGCCUGAUGCAGCGACGCCGCGUGAGUGAAGAAGUAUUUCGGUAUGUAAAGCUCUAUCAGCAGGGAAGAAAGGCCCUUUUAGGGAGAUGACGGUACCUGACUAAGAAGCCCCGGCUAACUACGUGCCAGCAGCCGCGGUAAUACGUAGGGGGCAAGCGUUAUCCGGAUUUACUGGGUGUAAAGGGAGCGCAGACGGAACUGCAAGUCUGAUGUGAAAGCCCGGGGCUCAACCGCGGGACUGCAUCGGAUACUGUAGAUCUGGAGUGCCGGAGGGGCAAGCGGAAUUCCUGGUGUAGCGGUGAAAUGCGUAGAUAUCAGGAGGAACACCGGCGGCGAAGGCGGCUUGCUGGACGGCAACUGACGUUGAGGCUCGAAAGCGUGGGGAGCAAA
rnacentral:rRNA from 1 species